rnacentral:lncRNA from 1 species
UUGUAGAGUACGACGACUAGGGUACAUGUAUUUUAUUGUGACGUGUGAUAGACAUGUAAGUCUAGUACAUAGACAUGUAAGAUAUUUUUUAUGUAUGUUUUAAAUUGGUAUUAAUAAAGCAUACUGUUUAAUAUUCUGUAUUUUUAUGAAAGUUAUUAUGUAGGAAACAGUAACUGUGUGAAAUAACUUGUAUUAUACUAAUUGUAAUGCUUGUAGUCUGGAACAUAUGAUAAUUGAAGCAAAUAAGUUUUAAUUAACAUUUAAUAAAGUAAAGUUAGAACAAUUACAAUAUUAUGAUUUUUCUAGAAAUAUUGAAUUACUGUCAUUUGUAUAUUUGAUAAACCAGUUAAAGUUCAUGUUAUAAUUUACCAGUUCAUAGUAAUAAUCCACUGAAUAAUCCAACUGUAUGUCUUGUAUUUUUGUGAAGAUCCAAUUGUAGAAACUGUAGUAAAUCGUAGUAAAUUCCACGCACCUGUGCUUGAAUUUUAUGAAUGAAAUGUAUUGACAUGCGCAGUAGAACCCAUGUGUCACUUGGGACGAUUUUUCAAUAAAAACACUAUUUUAACAUUGUGGCAACUGUUUUCAUAUACUUCGUGUAAUUCCUUUUAGUAUUUGUAGUCAACGUCUUCAAUGUUUUGUAGAUGUUAAUGCUCACUAUCCUUGAUAUUUAACAUUUUGAUCCGCCGGUGACACACAUAACUUUUCGCAAUGUUGUUUACGUAUUGUGACUUCCGGUGGCGCUGUAUAUAUUGUUGUAUUUUUAGUUACUAUAGAAAUUUGUUUAGUACCAUGCAAACUUUGUUUAUUAUAUAAAGGUUACUAAAAUUGUCUGUUAUUGUGAUUUUUGUAAUUUAUUUGAGAAUUCAAAUAUUUAGUUGGAUAGCAAGCGCGCGAUCCAACAAUCCAACGAUUUUCCAACUUUGCCAACAAUCCAACAUUGACGUAAUUUCGACGCCUGUUCGUCAGUUCUGCUAAACUUUUGGUUAUUACAGUUAGUAUUUUAUUUGCUCGUAAAUUAUUUCAGUCAAAAUGGUUUAUUUUUCUUAGAAACUUCAUCUUUUUUAAAGGUUAAAUUGUAAAGGAAAAUAGUAAAGUUAGCGUUUUCAAAGUUUAAAAGGAAAAUUGCGUUUUAGCG